GAUGAACGCUGGCGGCGUGCCUAAUACAUGCAAGUCGAGCGAACAGACGAGGAGCUUGCUCCUCUGACGUUAGCGGCGGACGGGUGAGUAACACGUGGAUAACCUACCUAUAAGACUGGGAUAACUUCGGGAAACCGGAGCUAAUACCGGAUAACAUGUUGAACCGCAUGGUUCAACAGUGGAAGACGGUCUUGCUGUCACUUAUAGAUGGAUCCGCGCUGCAUUAGUUAGUUGGUAAGGUAACGGCUUACCAAGGCAACGAUGCUUAGCCGACCUGAGAGGGUGAUCGGACACACGGGAACUGAGACAGGGCACAGACUCUGACGGGAGGACGCAGUAGGGAAUCUUCCGCAAAGGGGGAAAGCCUGACGGAGCAACGUCGCGGGAGUGAAGAAGGUCUUCGGCUCGUAAAGCUCUGUUAGUAGGGAAGAACAAAUGUGUAAGUAACUAUGCACGUCUUGACGGUACCUAAUCAGAAAGCCACGGCUAACUACGUG
rnacentral:rRNA from 1 species